rnacentral:piRNA from 1 species
UUGAAGCUAAUCUUGGGAGUUCACUCAUCC